rnacentral:rRNA from 1 species
AAAAAAAGAUUCGUAGUGACCUGCGGAGGACAUUACCGAGUGCGGGCCCUCGCGGCCCAACCUCCCACCCUUGUCUCUAUACACCUGUUGCUUUGGCGGGCCCACCGGGGCCACCUGGUCGCCGGGGGACGCACGUCUCCGGGCCCGCGCCCGCCGAAGCGCUCUGUGAACCCUGAUGAAGAUGGGCUGUCUGAGUACUGUGAAAAUUGUCAAAACUUUCAACAAUGGAUCUCUUGGUUCCGGCAUCGAUGAAGAACGCAGCGAAAUGCGAUAAGUAAUGUGAAUUGCAGAAUUCCGUGAAUCAUCGAAUCUUUGAACGCACAUUGCGCCCCCUGGCAUUCCGGGGGGCAUGCCUGUCCGAGCGUCAUUUCUGCCCUCAAGCACGGCUUGUGUGUUGGGUGUGGUCCCCCCGGGGACCUGCCCGAAAGGCAGCGGCGACGUCCGUCUGGUCCUCGAGCGUAUGGGGCUCUGUCACUCGCUCGGGAAGGACCUGCGGGGGUUGGUCACCACCAUGUUUUACCACGGUUGACCUCGGAUCAGGUAGGAGUUACCCGCUGAACUUAAGCAUAUCAAUAAGCGGAGGAA